rnacentral:lncRNA from 1 species
UGCAGCACCUGACCCUGAAGCUCUUCAGUUGCAAGAACUCCACAAGGGAAACAGUGUGACUGAAGCCAGGAAUGGAGGCUCCCAAGAAAAAGGAUCUGCUGCAGCUGUGGAUCAUGUCAAACACAAGCCCUGAGACACGCUGUGGAUGUAUGAAGGAUUCUGUUCGGUCAGGGAACUUCUUACAACCUAUGUACAGAUGUGUCUGAAUUUAGUAAGUCAGAUCCUUCAAGUAUUCGCAACUUUGAGAAAAUAAAACUUAACCUGCUGUGCAGAGCCCCUCUGCUCUCCCAGAAAUCAGCUGGUGGACAAAAAAGGGACAAACAGCAGCAGAAGAGACAACCACCUAAAUUAAAUAAUUGCAUCCUACAGAAAUCUUUCUUGCUCAUCUCCUAAUAUCAUCGACUACCUCUUUUAGAUGAAGCAUUGAACAUCUCUGCAUAUGUUUUAUCUGGUAAGUCUCACGUAUUUUACUCAGCCAAUUUUAGUCAUAAUAUCUCAGACUGUGGCUUAGACUGACUCAGUCUAUUCCAUUAGAUCCAGGUGACAGGGAAGUUUUGACGAGAUAGCCCUGGAGGAUGAAGAGAUGGAAAGGCCAGCUGAUGACUGGGCACACCUGUGUGGGGAAUUGGGGCCUGUGAUCCAAGGAGAAGUGCUGGCUAUCGGAGUCUGAAACAAACUUUGUUUACUUGUUAAUUUGGUCAAAGUAAUGGGAACAGGAUAUUCAGGAAAUCACAUGGCAACAGGGCAGGGCUCAGGCAAGAGACUAUUUUCGUGUUUCUUCUGAUGGUGAGCCUCACCAUAGGGAUGAAUGAUUACUUGGAAAAG